AUCUGCAGUGCAUCUACUGGACCAACACUGUGUUUGAGAGCUUCCUUCCCCGUUGCCGARCGAGGACCGGGCUCCUUUUGUUAUCCACCCGUGGUGAUGUCCUGUAAGGUUCCCCGAAUCUCAUCAGCACACCCUUCCUAUGAAGCGAAGGGAGAUGAUAACCUGGUGCCUUGGCUCAAGCAGAUAUUUUUGCCUGAGAAGAGAUUUGUAAAGCUCACUCUGUGAUGGUAAGAGGGGCUUCUUAGGCAUUUCAGCUGAGAUUUAGUCCUCACUUUAUCCCAAGGAGUAGAUGCCAAAGACAUUUUUCC